AGAGUUUGAUCAUGGCUCAGAAUCAACGCUGGCGGCGUGCCUCAGACAUGCAAGUCGAACGCGAAAGUCCCCUUCGGGGGACAAGUAGAGUGGCGCACGGGUGAGUAACACGUAGGUAAUCUACCUUUGGAUGGGGAAUAACCACCGGAAACGGUGGCUAAUACCGCAUAAUGCAGCGGCACCUAAUGGUGACAGUUGUUAAAGCGGGGGAUCGCAAGAUCUCGCGCCUGAAGAGGAGCCUGCGGCGGAUUAGCUAGUUGGUAGGGUAAUGGCCUACCAAGGCGACGAUCCGUAACCGGCCUGAGAGGGCGGUCGGUCACACUGACACUGACAUACGGGUCAGACUCCUACGGGAGGCAGCAGUCGGGAAUUUUGGGCAAUGGGCGAAAGCCUGACCCAGCAACGCCGCGUGAAGGAUGAAAUCCCUCGGGAUGUAAACUUCGCAAGAACGGGAAGAAUAAGUUUGUGCUAACACCACAAGCGAUGACGGUACUGUUUGUAAGCUCCGGCUAACUCCGUGCCAGCAGCGGCGGUAAUUC
rnacentral:rRNA from 1 species